rnacentral:ncRNA from 1 species
CGAAAGUUUGAUUCUAUUUUUUGUUAUUACAAUUUUUUUGAAGUUGCAUGAGCAUAAAUGUAUGUAUAGGUGGGUUAUUUUGAGAUUAACUCUUUAAAAAGUAUGUUAAGUAUUAAAUUUUCAGCAUAAAAUAUUAAGCAUUGAUUUAUGAGAAUAAGACUUAGUAAAAAAUUUAAAUCCGAUUAAAAUAUUGUGCCAGCAGUCGCGGUUAGACUUUGGGGUUAAGUAAUAAGUUUUGGUUUUUGUUAAAUGUUGGAAAAGAUAUGUCUAAGGAUAAUUAAGGUGAAAUUUGAAUUAUUAAUUAAGUAAAUUUUAUUUCCAUAGUUAAAGCAAAAAAGAUCGAGAUAUAAACUAGGAUUAGAUACCCUACUAUACUUGAAAAUAAGUAUUUAUAAACCAAAAUAUUAAUAGUUAAGUUCUUAAAAUUUAAAGAAUUUGGCGGUAUUUUAGUCUUAUCAGAGGAACUUGUUUAUUAAUUCGAUAAAACUCGCAAUAUCUUGCUUACUUUUGUUUUCAGUUUGUAUACCAUCAUUAUCAGAUAAUUUUUAGAGGAUAGAACUAUUAAAUCUUUAUUUAUAUUAAAGGAAAAUUAGAUCAAGGUACAGCUUAUAGGUAAGUUUAAAUGAGUUACAAUAAAGUAUUAUUUAUAAUGGAUAAAGUUAGAUAAUUAAACUUUUGAAGGAGGAUUUGAUUGUAAUAGAAUUUUAAUAUGGUUCUAAGACAUAAGCUCUAAAAUAUGUACAUAUCGCCCGUCACUUUCACUUCUGGGUGGGAUAAGUCGUAACAUAGUAGGUUUACUGGAAAGUGAAUCUAGAUUUCG